rnacentral:rRNA from 1 species
GAAUAUUGGACAAUGGGUGAGAGCCUGAUCCAGCCAUCCCGCGUGCAGGAAGACGGCCCUAUGGGUUGUAAACUGCUUUUAUACAGGAAUAAACCACCUUACGUGUAGGGUGUUGAAGGUACUGUAUGAAUAAGCACCGGCUAACUCCGUGCCAGCAGCCGCGGUAAUACGGAGGGUGCAAGCGUUAUCCGGAUUUAUUGGGUUUAAAGGGUCCGCAGGCGGACCUGUAAGUCAGGGGUGAAAGCCGGCAGCUUAACUGUCGAACUGCCUUUGAAACUGCAGGUCUUGAGUGAAAUUGAAGUAGCUGGAAUGAGUAGUGUAGCGGUGAAAUGCAUAGAUAUUACUCAGAACACCAAUAGCGAAGGCAGGUUACUAAAUUUCAACUGACGCUGAGGGACGAAAGCGUGGGGAGCGAACAG